rnacentral:rRNA from 1 species
AGUUCCAAUAGCGUAUACUAAUAUUGCUGCAGUUAAAAAGCUCGUAGUUGAAUUUCUGGUGACACGAUCUGGCCGGUUACUUAAUUGUGACUUGAGCCAUCGCCUUGUUGCCAUCUUUUGGUUUAACCAAUCUGGCAUUAGGUUGUCGGGUUGGUGAUACCAAUCGUUUACUGUGAAGAAAUUAAAGUGUUCAAAGCAGGCCUAUGCCGUUGAAUAUUUUAGCAUGGAAUAAUAAGACAGGACUCUGUAGCUAUUUUGUUGGUUUGCGCAAUAGAGUAAUGAUUAAUAGGGACAGUUAGGGAUAUUUGUACUAGUGAAUGAAAUUCUUGGAUUUCCUUAUGGCAAACGACUGCGAAAGCAUUUAUCAGGGAUGUUUUCAUUAAUCAAGAACGAAAGUAGG